rnacentral:rRNA from 1 species
AUUGAACGCUGGCGGCAGGCUUAACACAUGCAAGUCUAACGAGUGUCGGACGGGUGAGUAAUGCCUGGGAAUCUGGCUUAUGGAGGGGGAUAACGACGGGCAACUGUCGCUAAUACCGAGUACCAUCGGUUGAGCCCAAGUGGGAUUAGGUAGUUGGUUGGGUAACGGCCUACCAAGUCGACGAUCUGUAGCUGGUCUGAGAGGAUUACCCGCCACAGCGGGACUGAGGAACGGCCCGGACUCCGAAGUGGGGCAGCAGUGGGGAGUAUUGCGCAAGUGGGGCAACCUGACGCAGGCGUGCCGCGUGAAUGAAGAAGGCCUUCGGGUUGUAAAGUUCUUUCGGUGACGAGGCGUUAAUCGCAGAAGAAGCACCGGCUAACGCCGUGCCAGCAGACGCGGUAAUUC